GACGAACGCUGGCGGCGUGCUUAACACAUGCAAGUCGAACGGAAAGGCCCCUUUGGGGGUACUCGAGUGGCGCACGGGUGAGUAACACGUGAGUAACCUGCCCUUGACUUCGGGAUAACUUCAGGCAACUGGGGCUAAUACCGGAUAGGAAUCCUUGCUGCAUGGUGGGGGUUGGAAAGCUUCGGCGGUUUUGGAUGGACUCGCGGCUUAUCAGCUUGUUGGUGGGGUAGUGGGUUACCAAGGCUUUGACGGGUAGCCGGCCUGAGAGGGCGACCGGCCACACUGGGACUGAGGUACGGCACAGACGCCUACGGGAGGAAGAAGGGGGGAAGCUUGAACAAGGGGCGGAAGGCGGAUGCAGAAAGGCCGCGGGCGGGAAGACGGCCUUCGGGGUGUAAAACGGUUUCAGCAGGGGCGAAGCUUGUGGUGACGGUACCUGCAGAAGAAGCACCGGCUAACUACGUG
rnacentral:rRNA from 1 species